GACGAACGCUGGCGGCGUGCCUAAUACAUGCAAGUCGAGCGGACCGAACGAGGGCUUGCUCUUGUUUGGUCAGCGGCGGACGGGUGAGUAACACGUGGGCAACCUGCCCGCAAGACCGGGAUAUCUCCGGGAAACCGGAGCUAAUACCGGAUAACACCGAAGACCGCAUGGUCUUCGGUUGAAAGGCGGCCUUUGGGCUGUCACUUGCGGAUGGGCCCGGGGCGCAUUAGCUAGUUGGUGAGGUAACGGCUCACCAAGGCGACGAUGCGUAGCCGGCCUGAGAGGGUGACCGGCCACACUGGGACUGAGACACGGCCCAGACUCCUACGGGAGGCAGCAGUAGGGAAUCUUCCGCAAUGGGCGAAAGCCUGACGGAGCGACGCCGCGUGAGCGAAGAAGGCCUUCGGGUCGUAAAGCUCUGUUGUGAGGGACGAAGGAGCGCCGUUCGAAGAGGGCGGCGCGGUGACGGUACCUCACGAGAAAGCCCCGGCUAACUACGUGCCAGCCGCCGCCGUAA
rnacentral:rRNA from 1 species